rnacentral:rRNA from 1 species
GAUGAACGCUGGCGGCGUGCCUAAUACAUGCAAGUCGAGCGAACAGACGAGGAGCUUGCUCCUCUGACGUUAGCGGCGGACGGGUGAGUAACACGUGGAUAACCUACCUAUAAGACUGGGAUAACUUCGGGAAACCGGAGCUAAUACCGGAUAACAUGUUGAACCGCAUGGUUCAACAGUGAAAGACGGUCUUGCUGUCACUUAUAGAUGGAUCCGCGCCGCAUUAGCUAGUUGGUAAGGUAACGGCUUACCAAGGCUACGAUGCGUAGCCGACCUGAGAGGGUGAUCGGCCACACUGGAACUGAGACACGGUCCAGACUCCUACGGGAGGCAGCAGUAGGGAAUCUUCCGCAAUGGGCGAAAGCCUGACGGAGCAACGCCGCGUGAGUGAAGAAGGUCUUCGGAUCGUAAAACUCUGUUAUUAGGGAAGAACAAAUGUGUAAGUAACGAUGCACGUCCUGACGGUACCUAAUCAGAAAGCCACGGCUAACUACGUGC